rnacentral:rRNA from 1 species
ACGGAAGGCAGCAGUGAGGAAUAUUGGUCAAUGGACGGAAGUCUGAACCAGCCAAGUAGCGUGCAGGAUGACGGCCCUAUGGGUUGUAAACUGCUUUUGUUGGGGAAUAAAGUUCGCCACGUGUGGCGUUUUGCAUGUACCCUUCGAAUAAGGACCGGCUAAUUCCGUGCCAGCAGCCGCGGUAAUACGGAAGGUCCGGGCGUUAUCCGGAUUUAUUGGGUUUAAAGGGAGCGUAGGCCGGUUGCUAAGCGUGUUGUGAAAUGUAGUCGCUCAACGUCUGCACUGCAGCGCGAACUGGCAGCCUUGAGUGCGCGGUAAGUUGGCGGAAUUCGUCGUGUAGCGGUGAAAUGCUUAGAUAUGACGAAGAACUCCGAUUGCGAAGGCAGCUGACUGUAGCGUAACUGACGCUGAAGCUCGAAAGUGUGGGUAUCGAACAGGAUUAGAUACCCUGGUA